rnacentral:rRNA from 1 species
UACAGAGGGUGCAAGCGUUGUUCGGAAUUAUUGGGCGUAAAGGGAGUGUAGGCGGCUUUUUAAGUCUUCUGUGAAAUCUACGGGCUUAACCUGUAACGUGCAGAGGAUACUGGAGAGCUUGAGUGUCGGAGAGGAUAGUGGAAUUCCCGGUGUAGAGGUGAAAUUCGUAGAGAUCGGGAGGAACACCAGUGGCGAAGGCGACUUACUGGACACAUAUUGACGCUGAGGUGCGAAAGCGUGGGGAGCAAACAGG